rnacentral:rRNA from 1 species
AUUGAACGCUGGCGGCAGGCCUAACACAUGCAAGUCGAGCGGUAGCACAGAGAGCUUGCUCUCGGGUGACGAGCGGCGGACGGGUGAGUAAUGUCUGGGAAACUGCCUGAUGGAGGGGGAUAACUACUGGAAACGGUAGCUAAUACCGCAUAACGUCGCAAGACCAAAGAGGGGGACCUUCGGGCCCCUUGCCAUCAGAUGUGCCCAGAUGGGAUUAGCUAGUAGGUGGGGUAACGGCUCACCUAGGCGACGAUCCCUAGCUGGUCUGAGAGGAUGACCAGCCACACUGGAACUGAGACACGGUCCAGACUCCUACGGGGGGCAGCAGUGGGGAAUAUUGCACAAUGGGCGCAAGCCUGAUGCAGCCAUGCCGCGUGUAUGAAGAAGGCCUUCGGGUUGUAAAGUACCUUCAGCGGGGAGGAAGGUGUUGUGGUUAAUAACCACAGCAAUUGACGUUACCCGCAGAAGAAGCACCGGCUAACUCCGUGCCAGCCGCCGCCGUAACAC